rnacentral:tmRNA from 1 species
UUGGACCCGGGGGCGGUACCCGGCGCCUCCACCAAAACAUAGUCAAUGCCAAUUAUGCUUUGCUGGCUGUAUUUUGACGGGGGCGAAAUUAGGAUCGACAAGGGCGUAAAGAUUGCUCUUUUACUCGGCAUUGUACCACCGUCAUCGGACUGAAUGAAUAGUUGCAAAUGAUAACAACUAUGCAGAAGCACGUCUUGCUGCUUAAUGCGGUACGAGGUCUUCAAAUUUAAGUCUUAAACCAUUGCAGGUUUGAGCGGGGUUCGGAGG